UUUAUGGUCCCGGGUGACACGACGUCUGUGAACCCCGCCAGGUCCGGAAGGAAGCAACGGUAGCGGAACUAGUGGGUGCCUGGGGCCACUUUUCU
rnacentral:SRP_RNA from 2 species